rnacentral:sRNA from 1 species
AAAAUGACUCCUAAACCCACAUGUUACAGCAUGUAAGUAUGAUGUUAAUCGUUUGCCUACGUAGAUCCUUUCCCAGAUAAGCGAAAACUGAGUUUUUAGUGCUGAAGUCGUAAAUCGCUUGAACAGGGAGGGGCAGUUUAUCGGUACGCAGUUGUGAACUGCGGAUUUUGUCGCAUAUUGAAGAAAAGUGGAAGAGCUAAUCGGUAAUUAUCAGCGGGGAAAGCAUAACAAGAUUUUAAUCACGAACUGUGGGAAAAUGAUUUGACGUAUAAACUGUGUGGCUUAUGCUCUUGAAAAGCCAAUCUGAGAGGGAGUUGUAUAUGGAUACCGAUUUGAAGAUGUCAUUACUCACCACCGUGGGUGCCUUGGCAAUGAUUAUUGCUUUCAGUUUUAUUGCCGCAUUGAACUGAUCC